rnacentral:rRNA from 1 species
UACGUAGGGGGCAAGCGUUGUCCGGAUUCAUUGGGCGUAAAGAGCUCGUAGGCGGCUUAGCAAGUCGGGUGUGAAAACUCCAGGCUCAACCUGGAGACGCCACCCGAUACUGCUAUGGCUAGAGUCCGGUAGGGGACCACGGAAUUCCUGGUGUAGCGGUGAAAUGCGCAGAUAUCAGGAGGAACACCGGUGGCGAAGGCGGUGGUCUGGGCCGGAACUGACGCUGAGGAGCGAAAGCGUGGGGAGCGAACAGG